rnacentral:rRNA from 1 species
CACUUUGUCUAUAUGGCAAAUGUGAGAUGCAGUGUAUGGUACAUCAAUAUUCUAGUAUGAGAAAUUAACGAUUUAAGUCCUUCUUAAAUGAGGCCAUUUACCCAUAGAGGGUGCCAGGCCCGUAUAACGUUAAUGAUUACUAGAUGGUGUUUCCAAAGAGUCGUGUUGCUUGAUAGUGCAGCACUAAGUGGGUGGUAAACUCCAUCUAAAACUAAAUAUAACCAUGAGACCGAUAGUAAACAAGUACCGUGAGGGAAAGUUGAAAAGAACUCUGAAUAGAGAGUUAAAUAGUACGUGAAACUGCUUAGAGGUUAAGCCCGAUGAACCUGAAUAUCCGUUAUGGAAAAUUCAUCAUUAGAAUUGUAGUAUUUCAAUAAUAUUAUAAUAAUAGUGUGCAUUUUUUCCAUAUAAGGACAUUGUAAUCUAUUAACAUAAUAAAUUUAUCAAAAAGUUUUGAAUUAUUGCUUAUUUGAAUUAUAGUGCUUGCAUUAUAACAUAAAAUAAAUUGUCAUAAAUUUGAUAAAGUGUUGAUAGAUUUAUAUGAAUACUGUGCGUUAAUUUUUCGGAAUUAUAUAAUGGCAUAAUUAUCAUUGAU